AUGACAUCGUGUGUUGCUUUUGUUGAUGUCCAACGACGGUGGUUAGAACAACUUCGUCAUCGGUGUUGUACGGCAGGUGUGAAGGUGACGCGACAGGGACGAAAAACACGCGGAUCUGUUCGUCGGCGGAGUUGUGGUCAGGAUCGCCGAUUUUCUUCUUUUCUGCAAAAAAAAAUUGAAACUUUGUUCUGCAAAAACAAAAAUCAGUACAAGUUAUUGUAUUAG